rnacentral:rRNA from 1 species
AUUGAACGCUGGCGGCAUGCUUUACACAUGCAAGUCGAACGGCAGCGCGGGGGCAACCCUGGCGGCGAGUGGCGAACGGGUGAGUAAUGCAUCGGAACGUAUCCUGUAAUGGGGGAUAACGUAGCGAAAGUUACGCUAAUACCGCAUACGCUCGAGAGAGGAAAGUGGGGGAUCGCAAGACCUCACGUUAUAGGAGCGGCCGAUGUCCGAUUAGCUAGUUGGUGGGGUAAAGGCCUACCAAGGCGACGAUCGGUAGCUGGUCUGAGAGGAUGAUCAGCCACACUGGGACUGAGACACGGCCCAGACUCCUACGGGAGGCAGCAGUGGGGAAUUUUGGGACAAUGGGCGAAAGCCUGAUCCAGCCAUGCCGCGUGCGGGAAGAAGGCCUUCGGGUUGU